AUACUAACCUUGCGUAGGGUGUACCGUGAUCAGGAAGGCGGUUGCCCCGGGCCGGCGCCAACCAUUGCACUGAGGUUGGAACAAGCCUGUCUGUGACUAUCCUAAGUAGGGUACGUCGUACGCGUAAUUUUUGGUAGUUAGGGACUAGCGUACUGCGCAGUUCCUAU